GGGCACAUGGUGUAGUUGGUUAUCACAUCCGCUUAGCAUCAAACUGAGGCCUGCGGGGGGUGCUGGGUUCAAUUCCCAGUGUGUCCA